UGGGCAGGGGGGCGUGCUAUACAUGCAGUCGAGCGAACGGACGAGGAGCUUGCUCCUCUGACGUUAGCGGCGGACGGGUGAGUAACACGUGGAUAACCUACCUAUAAGACUGGGAUAACUUCGGGAAACCGGAGCUAAUACCGGAUAAUAUAUUGAACCGCAUGGUUCAAUAGUGAAAGACGGUUUUGCUGUCACUUAUAGAUGGAUCCGCGCCGCAUUAGCUAGUUGGUAAGGUAACGGCUUACCAAGGCAACGAUGCGUAGCCGACCUGAGAGGGUGAUCGGCCACACUGGAACUGAGACACGGUCCAGACUCCUACGGGAGGCAGCAGUAGGGAAUCUUCCGCAAUGGGCGAAAGCCUGACGGAGCAACGCCGCGUGAGUGAUGAAGGUCUUCGGAUCGUAAAACUCUGUUAUUAGGGAAGAACAAAUGUGUAAGUAACUAUGCACGUCUUGACGGUACCUAAUCAGAAAGCCACGGCUAACUACGUGCCAGCAGCCGCGGUAAUACGUAGGUGGCAAGCGUUAUCCGGAAUUAUUGGGCGUAAAGCGCGCGUAGGCGGUUUUUUAAGUCUGAUGUGAAAGCCCACGGCUCAACCGUGGAGGGUCAUUGGAAACUGGAAAACUUGAGUGCAGAAGAGGAAAGUGGAAUUCCAUGUGUAGCGGUGAAAUGCGCAGAGAUAUGGAGGAACACCAGUGGCGAAGGCGACUUUCUGGUCUGUAACUGACGCUGAUGUGCGAAAGCGUGGGGAUCAAACAGGAUUAGAUACCCUGGUAGUCCACGCCGUAAACGAUGAGUGCUAAGUGUUAGGGGGUUUCCGCCCCUUAGUGCUGCAGCUAACGCAUUAAGCACUCCGCCUGGGGAGUACGACCGCAAGGUUGAAACUCAAGGAAUUGACGGGGACCCGCACAAGCGGUGGAGCAUGUGGUUUAAUUCGAGCACGCGAAGAACCUUACCAAUCUUGACAUCCUCUGACCCCUCUAGAGAUAGAGUUUCCCUUCGGGGACAGAGUGACAGGUGGUGCAUGGUUGUCGUCAGCUCGUGUCGUGAGAUGUUGGGUUAAGUCCCGCAACGAGCGCACCCUUAGCUUAGUUGCCAUCAUUAGUUGGGCACUCUUAGUGACUGCCGGUGACAACCGGAGGAAGGUGGAAUGACGUCAAUCAUCAUGCCCUUUGAUUGGCUACCACGUGCUACAUGAAAACAGUAGCAACGGAGCCAGCAUCCAUAAGUGUUUCUCAGUUCGAAUGUAAUCUGGCAAC
rnacentral:rRNA from 1 species